rnacentral:tRNA from 1 species
GCCGGGGUGGCGGAACGGCAGACGCGCUACGUUCAGGGCGUAGUGCCCGCUAGGGCGUGUGGGUUCGAAUCCCACCCUCGGCACCA